UCUGCGUACCUGACGCUCCGGACGCCAGAGAGCCGGCAACGGCCGCCGCCUCCCGGGAAUAGUCCGCCCAGACUCCCAACAGAUUCCAGAAGAGCGGAGCUAGGCCGGGCAGCGUCGCGGGACGAGCCCAGAGCGGACGCCACAGUCCAGCGACCUGUCCGGACCCCUCCGCGUCCGAAACGGACGCUCCGGGCACGGGGGACGCGGAACUCCGGAAACCACACUUCCCGGGAGCCUCUGCGGCCGCGGCGCGCCGCGAGGAAAACGGCCUCGGCUUUCUAGGAAAUGGUACCGCCCGGAGAUGUCUCCCCAAAACGGGCCAACGGGGAUGUGCGCUCAGCGGGACGGGAGCACACAGCGUCUUCCGGCUCACUAUCCUUCCCAGGACAAAGGCGACGCUCUCCUUACGUGAACGUUCAGACCACGAAACUACACUUCCCAGAAAGCCACGCGGCAGCGACGACCGUCUUCCGGGUCAUCGGUGAGUUCCAAAAGCGCUCUCCUCCUUGGUGGCGCCCUAGAACUGGCCUUUGCUUAGCCGACUUUUGUUGUCACGUUGUCCGCGUCGUGUGGGAUACUUGGCGUCCGCUUGCUCUGAACUGUUAUAGCUCCCACGAUGCCCAGUGGCCGCACCGUCUCAACAGUCGUCGUCCACCAACCCAAGACAUUUCCGGAAGUUCAUGAGGACAAGGCAUCUCGAUGGCACUAAUGUCGGCCAUUCAGGUGUGCAUUACAGGCUCACAAAAAACCUGGAAAUAAUGAACUGUAGCGAGCGUUUUGAUGAUAGUAACCCUGACCCUGGGAAGAAUCGCUCCUCUCACAACUGUCAGCCUGACCCGCCUCUGUCCCCUGACGUGCUGCUUUGGCUUUGUCUGACUGUCCAGCCUGCCUGAAGGGGUGGUGGACACCCUUUAGGAAAUUAAAAAAUCCCUUGGAAAGAGAAUUUUGAAUGGCUGAUAGAGCAGAAUAAAUUACACAGAUUGUAAUUUAUUCUCUAUCUGCCAUUCAUAUCUUACAAAAUUAUGAAUUUUUUUCAGCUCUGUAUAGGCCAGAACAAUCUAGUAUUGGUGUAUAUUUGGUUAUUUGCUUUCUUUUUAAAUUUUAAAUUUUGACUUUUAUAGUGUGGCUAUGAAUUUUCUUGUCCUUAUGUGUCUGAUGUUAAUUAGACAAUGUUUUGACGGUCUGUCUUGUGAAUGUGGUAUUUAAUUACUGUAAGGGCCGGAGUUUAAAAAAAAAAAAACCACUGUGGCCUCAGCUGGCUUCCUCCCAAGGCUUAGAGUAUAUAGUAAGGAAUAACAUUUGCCAGGGCAAAGUGUGUUCCAUCUAUGACUUUAUUAUACAAUGACAGAUUGCUUUUCAAAAUAGUAUGGAUUGACCCUCCUACCAGAGUUCAUAUGUAUUUCGGUUGCCAACCAUUAGUGUCACUGCUCAAUUUUGUGAAACUGAAAAUUUAGCAUUCUAUUAGGUGUGAAAUUGUAACUCAUUGUUGUUUAAAUUUGCAUUUGUUUGUUUUUAGAUUGAGAAUCUUGUCAUGUUUAUUGAUCUAGUGUGUAUUUCUGAGAAUUCCAUGUUUUUUGGUCAAUGUUCUUUUAAAAUGAUGACCUUUUUAAUAUUAAAAUGCAAGUUAUAUAGAAAAAUUCAGGAUUAAAUAUGAGUGCAUCUAUAUCUGGGAUCUCUAUUCUGUUCCAUUGACUUAUCUAUUCUUCACCAAUACACACCACCCUGAG
rnacentral:lncRNA from 1 species